rnacentral:rRNA from 1 species
GGGUCAGUAGGUUGGUCGUGCCACCGGUACGUACUGGUCCCACUGAUUCCUCCUUCCUGAAGAACCGUAAUGCCAUUAAUUUGGUGUUGCGGGGAAACAGGACUGUUACUUUGAAAAAAUUAGAGUGUUUAAAGCAAGCUAACGCUUGAGUACAUCAGCAUGGAAUAAUGAAAUAGGACGAUCGAUCCUAUUUUGUUGGUUUCUAGGAUUGACGUA